UACGGAGGGAGCUAGCGUUGUUCGGAAUUACUGGGCGUAAAGCGCACGUAGGCGGCGAUUCAAGUCAGAGGUGAAAGCCCGGGGCUCAACCCCGGAACUGCCUUUGAAACUAGAUUGCUAGAAUCCUGGAGAGGUUAGUGGAAUUCCGAGUGUAGAGGUGAAAUUCGUAGAUAUUCGGAAGAACACCAGUGGCGAAGGCGACUAACUGGACAGGUAUUGACGCUGAGGCGCGAAAGCGUGGGGAGCAAACAGG
rnacentral:rRNA from 1 species